rnacentral:misc_RNA from 1 species
AAAGUCGUAACAAGGUCUCCGUUGGUGAACCAGCGGAGGGAUCAUUACCGAGUUCUUACAGAACCCAACCCUUGUGUGAUAAGCUCUCACCCAGCUUUUACACCUAGGUCUCGCCGACAGGCUGGCAGCGCCGGCUAUGGAUCGCGAGGCAGUGUAAAAUAAAAACCUCUGUAUCAUUAUCACAAAUUCUGAAGACUUUUACAAAAGAGUCAAAACUUUCAACAACGGAUCUCUUGGUUCUG